rnacentral:ncRNA from 1 species
GGCAUCCAGUGCCCCGGGGAGAGUUCUCUUUUCUUUGUGAAGGGCAGGGAGCCCUGGAAUGGGUUCACCCGAGAGAGGGGCCCAAGCCCUGCAAAGCAUUGCGGUUUCGGCGGUGUCUGGUGAGCUCUCCCUGGCCCUUGAAAA